rnacentral:rRNA from 1 species
GGCCCGCACAAGCGGAGGAACAUGUGGUUUAAUUCGAUGAUACGCGAGGAACCUUACCCGGGCUUGAACUGCUGGUGCAUGGACUGGAGACAGUCCUUCCCUUCGGGGCUCCAGCGGAGGUGCUGCAUGGUUGUCGUCAGCUCGUGCCGUGAGGUGUCGGCUUAAGUGCCAUAACGAGCGCAACCCCUUUCCGCAGUUGCCAUCAGGUUAAGCUGGGCACUCUGCGGACACUGCCACCGCAAGGUGUGAGGAAGGUGGGGAUGACGUCAAAUCAGCACGGCCCUUACGUCCGGGGCUACACACGUGUUACAAUGGCGCGUACAGAGGGCUGUGUCUGUGCAAACAGAUACGAAUCCCGAAAGCGCGCCUCAGUUCGGACUGGGGUCUGCAACCCGACCCCACGAAGCUGGAUUCGCUAGUAAUCGCGCAUCAGCCAUGGCGCGGUGAAUACGUUCCCGGGC